rnacentral:rRNA from 1 species
GAUGGACGCUGGCGGCGUGCCUAACACAUGCAAGUCGAGCGAUUCUCUUCGGAGGAGAGCGGCGGACGGGUGAGUAACGCGUGGGUAACCUGCCCUGUACACACGGAUAACAUACCGAAAGGUAUGCUAAUACGAGAUAACAUACUUUUAUCGCAUGGUAGAAGUAUCAAAGCUCCGGCGGUACAGGAUGGACCCGCGUCUGAUUAGCUAGUUGGUAAGGUAACGGCUUACCAAGGCGACGAUCAGUAGCCGACCUGAGAGGGUGAUCGGCCACAUUGGAACUGAGACACGGUCCAAACUCCUACGGGAGGCAGCAGUGGGGAAUAUUGCACAAUGGGCGAAAGCCUGAUGCAGCAACGCCGCGUGAGCGAUGAAGGCCUUCGGGUCGUAAAGCUCUGUCCUCAGGGAAGAUAAUGACGGUACUUGAGGAGGAAGCCCCGGCUAACUACGUGCCAGCAGCCGCGGUAAAAC